CCCAAAAUAAGUGUACGUUUGGCUCCACCGCAGGUAAUUUUGCAUUCACCCCCCUGAUCUACGCCUCGAGGUCACCACAACCAGCGACGACCCAAUCCUCUCGUUCUCCCCCAAAUCGAAGCCAGUCUUCUUCCUCUUCCCCCAACUCUCCCUCCCGAUCCAAUCCCAGAUCGCUGAGAGUCAAUCAUCCAAUCCAAAGCCAUUGCUGGUCAUGCAGAGAUUAAUGGCGGCCGGUCCAUAUAAGCUGCCGGUGUGCAUCGCAAUGGAUCCAUGGAAGGCGGCGGAGGAGCGGUAGGUGGAGGAGCAGAAUCCGGCGAUGUCCAGCCAGGCAAGGCCAUCGCGGCGGCCGGCGGCGUAACACGCGACUGCGGAGGAUCUGGUUCUGGAGGCCCCCACCGUGCUCGGGCAGUCAGGUUCCGACCGCGCUCGCCCUCGUACAUCCUUCGGCGGCGGCGGUAUGGUUGCGGAGCCAAACUCGUCGACUUGGACAAGGAUGUAGCAGCUGAUGGCGAAGCUGGUGUCGGGCAUGCAGGUACUCUUCUCCAUCGGCCUCAUGUUCAUCUUCUACCUCAAGAUACUAUGAUUAUUAGAGACAGUAUGCAGAAGGAUUGAACAAGAAGAAUUGAAUAGAUCAGCGAGUUGUACCUGGAUCCAUGUUUAGAUUGAAGUGACGUGUGGGCUGGAGCUCUUCAUGCACGGCUUCACCCUCUUCAUGUACGGCUUCAUCCUCUUCAUGUACAGCUUGCUCCUGAAAGAGAGCUUCAUCUUCUUCCUGUUAUCCUGUAUGGCUUCCACUCCCUCAUGCACGGCUUCGUCUCCCUCAUCUGGUGGUAGUAUAUUCAAGUCAAUGGCCAUGGAUGGGGUGUGUGUGUGUGUGGUGUAUUCUUUGGUAAAUGUGAGCUGGCUUUGUAGCUGUGUUAGGCGUUUGGAUUCCAAUUUUUGGCGCCUGUAAUCUGGCUUACUAGUAUUGAAACUGGCGGGAACAGUGUACUGGAGUAACUGGCUGAAGCUAAAUUAGCUAGCGGGAGGAGGAAUUGUAUUUUGCUUGUGAUUUAAUGAGACAUGUGUAUUAACUGUGUACAAGAAUCGAAGCACCACCACCGCUGCCAGUUGCUUAAAUGAGGGGAGGGAG
rnacentral:lncRNA from 1 species